CUCAGAGAUACAGGAAGUCGACAUUAGAAAACAGCUGUCCUUACAGAGGGAAACAAGCCGGAUAACUGCGAUUUACAAGUUUAUCGAAACUGCAAACUAUAGCAGCUCUGACGAAUGGUGUGACUGUUGGUAAAAGCUUGCGCCUACGUGGUGAGGAAGAUCAGGGCCUCUGUCGCUGACGGCGAGCAAGAGGAAAAACCCAUCCAAACACCAUGUAGUGCAAAAGCUCAAAAGAAAUCCGACCGGAAGUCGAUGAAAUCUUCUUCAACUGUUGCCCUGAACCCAAAACAUGAUGAAGAUGUCGGCGUAGGAGCAGCAGCAGCAGGGACUUCCUCAGGGCCAGCUGUGCAAAACUGUGGCUCCUGACGUUAAAUUUCUGUCUGGACACUGGAACUGUGGUCAACUCCAUUUUGAAAUAUCAGAUGUAUAUUUGAUAGGUUUGAUAGAACUGUAAUAAUUAGAUAAAUACACAAAUAAGAUGGUUGAUGUUAUUUUUGACAAAAAUCUAAAAGCUAAAUACUUUCCAGUUGUUCAGUUCCCAGUGUCUAGCACAGAAUGUCCCAUUAGAUGUCCCAUUAGAUGGCCUUUUUCACAGAAGACAUUUUGAAAACAAGUGCAACUGUUGACAUCAGGGGUGGGGAUUGUUUUUUUCCUUUUUGAUGUGAUGUGGCUUUACCGAAAGUAAAUAGGGCAUUUAGGUUGAUAGAACUGAAAGUGUGUGUGGUUCAUCAACGUGUUUCCUGUGAGAAAGGCCUACAUUCAUGUACUGCAGCGUGUGAGGGCCGGCUCACCAACCUCUGCAUCCAGAGGCUGAGCAGGCCUGAUGUUCUUGCUGUUACAUCAGUAGCCAAAAUUAUGACUUAAAAGCACUGUUUGGGUAAUAAUAAAUAAAAAUUCCAACAAGAUGUUCAAUAACACUGAGCAAGCAUCAUGUAAAAGGCAAGAGGACAUGAGAAAUGUUACCAGAUGAUAAAAAAGACACAUGGCUAACCACCAACCUCAUGUUUAUAAAUAUGUCUGGGG